rnacentral:rRNA from 1 species
GAUGAACGCUGGCGGCGUGCCUAACACAUGCAAGUCGAACGAAGCACUUUGAAGUUUUCGGACGGAUGAGUGACUGAGUGGCGGACGGGUGAGUAACGCGUGGGUAACCUGCCUCAUACAGGGGGAUAACAGUUAGAAAUGACUGCUAAUACCGCAUAAGCGCACAGCAUCGCAUGAAGCGGUGUGAAAAACUCCGGUGGUAUGGGAUGGACCCGCGUCUGAUUAGCUAGUUGGCGGGGUAACGGCCCACCAAGGCGACGAUCAGUAGCCGACCUGAGAGGGGUACCGGCCACAUUGGGACUGAGACACGGCCCAAACUCCUACGUGAGGCAGCAGUGGUGACUAUUGCACAAUGGGCGAAAGCUUGAUGCAGCAACGCCCAGUGAGUGAAGAAGUACUUUGGUAUGUAAAUUCUUAUCAGCGUGGAUGAAAAUGACUGUUCCUGACUAAGAAGCCCCGGCUAACUAUGUGCCAGCCGCCGCCGUAACAC